AGGACGAACGCUGGCGGCGUGCUUAACACAUGCAAGUCGAGGGCACUUGGGCAGCAAUGUCUAGGUGACCGGCGAACGGGUGCGUAACACGUGAGCGACCUUGCCUCGUGGUGGGGGAUAGCCGGCCCAACGGCCGGGUAAUACCGCAUAUGGUAGUUUCUUCGCAUGGGGAGACUAGCAAAGCCUUGGAGCAAUCCAAUGGCGCCACAGGGGGGGCUCGCGGCCUAUCAGCUAGUUGGGGGGGUAAUGGCCCACCAAGGCGACGACGGGUAGC
rnacentral:rRNA from 1 species